CCAGCUCCCUCCUAUCACAUCCAGUCCCUGCAAACCAGGAAAAAAGAUCAUAUACAAUUGUGGAAUGGGUUGUAUUGCCUUGCAAGACUUGGAAACUACAGCCUCACCUUUCAAAAGGCUCUUCUCUUCUUGAGGAAUGUAACAAAAGUGGGCAAUCAGAAAGCUGAGUACCCGCCAGCCCUAGGGUGAUGGGUGAAAUACUGCAGAGUAAGGAAAGGGCUGGCAGACAGGAAAGAAGACCUGCAGGAGACAAAUCUUUUCUGGAGAGGUAGCUCAUUGCUAGGCUGGAUACAAGAACAUGAUGAAUAUGAAAGCAUUUUUUGUAUGGAAAAAAAAAUUGAAGAUGUUAUCCUAUCCCUGAGAAUCUGAAGACUGUGUUUUAUGCACCUUGAUCCUGACAGGUGGAAAGCUGAAGGAGAUCCCAAGCAAGUAGUCUAUAGAAAUUCUCAUUUUAAGUGCCUUUAUUCUACCCAAAAUGUAUAUUAUGCAUCCAAAGGCUUUCUGUUUUGUUUUCUUGUUGUUUUGUAGCAGUUUUCUUACAGUUUAUCUGCACUCUACAAGACAAAUCCUUCAGAGUCCCAGAUGGGAAGGAUGAGCUCUGCUUCAGAUCAUGUUCUUCUGGGACUACUUGCCAAUCCUAGGAGUUUCACCAUGGCACGAGGAAGCUUGAUUUGACUUUUGUGUUAUUUUUGGUCAUUCUGAUAGGGUCUUGGCAUUUGAGUUAUGGCGCUGUUGGGGUCUCCGUGCCUAGUCAAAUACAGAAAAUUCACUCUAGCCAUUGCUUCUGGGGAGACAUUUUCAUUCAAUAAUGUUUUCUUGUCUAUGCCAACCAUAUGCAGGUUCCUCAAACCAUAUCAUUUUGACUUCAGGUUUUGUACAAAAUGAGGAUGUUCACACAACACAAAGAGACCUGAACACUUGCUGUUAAGAGAUCUUUGUAAGCCGAAACCCAAGCACUCAGCCUUUUGAAAGGCAUCACCUUCAUCCUAGUUUCAUCAGGCCCUGUUCAAUCUCCCUGUUGAUUUCUUUCACUCACCAUACAAAUAGUGCUGAUGGGAGCAUGCUUGAUCAGCACAGGCGUUGCAGCACUAAUUGGCUAUUAAGCUUUGUGCAGGUGCAUUACUGGGAAGCACUUACUGCCUACCUAAAUGACUAUUAGCUACUAGUGUAUCCUCUAAGCUCUACUCAUUCCCUAGCAUAAGGGUCUAAUCUCAAAACUACCACUAGUCAAGAGGUGGAAGAAUGCACAGUUCCUUACAUUCAUGGCAGUUGCUUCUAUGCUGUCCGAUAGAACAGGCAUAUGGACUUCAGCAUCUGCCAGUGCAAGGCUAUGAGAAUUCAAGGGGAGUGUCCUAUUGUGUAACACCUAGGUCAACACAGCACAGAGCGCUCCAGCCCUUUGCUCCCCAAAGGGAAUCACAGUAGUGCAGCAUACCUGCCCUGGACACAGCUCUGAUCACACUCGGCCUUGCAGCCUGCUCUGCCAUCCAAGGCAGCCAGCCACUCACUGACCUCUUUCUGCCCACUUCAGGGAAUGAAGGCUGGCACUGUACAUGGGGCUGUUGCCAGCAUGUGAUAAUACAACCAUAAACAUAAGCUAGGACUAGGACAGAUGUUAAUGCUACUGUAGCUGGGCACAAGGCCAAAAGCAACAGUCCCAAAGCUGAUGGUGCCUGAACAAGUUUUCUUACUGGGAGGUUAACAUGUCUUCUAAUUGGGGAACUGUACAGAAGACCAUUUUGGCACAGUGGAUUACUUGAACUGUGGUUAUGUGCUGGUACUGCACUCGUUUCAGGAACCCUAAAGUCACUUGCCAGAAGCAGUUUUUAUUCUCAAGGAGACAGUGCUUUACAACUCCCAUUGCAUCAGAAGUCCCACUGGCUUGGGCCCAGUCACCAGUGGAUCACAUUCUAUACAGGUACAGUAUGGGUUUCAACUUCCAAAUGUUGUCUUAUAGCUAAGGUGACACAUACAACACAUUUACAGAUUUGAAGAUGAUUCUUAGUUCAGAGGACCUAAGGCAUGUGCUUUUUCCCUUAAAAGAAUAUUACAAUAUUAUAUUUUUACAACUUAGUUAUUUGAUAACUAAACUUUGAUGCAUGACUACA